rnacentral:rRNA from 1 species
UACGGAGGGUGCAAGCGUUAUCCGGAUUCACUGGGUUUAAAGGGUGCGUAGGAGGGUAGGUAAGUCAGUGGUGAAAUCUUCGAGCUUAACUCGGAAACUGCCGUUGAUACUAUCUAUCUUGAAUACCGUGGAGGUGAGCGGAAUAUGUCAUGUAGCGGUGAAAUGCUUAGAUAUGACAUAGAACACCAAUUGCGAAGGCAGCUCGCUACACGAAUAUUGACUCUGAGGCACGAAAGCGUGGGGAGCGAACAGG